CAGACUUAGCUCAUCUGCUUGUAAUUCUCUUCUGUAAGCCUCUUCUCUGGGAGAAUGGUGAAAUCAUCUUUAUGAGACCGCAAGAUAACCCUACUGACAAAAAAAGUCUCUCCCCAGCAAGCGUUAUUACUUUGCGGUGCUCAACAGGAGUUGAUGGGCAGCCUCCACAUUUCUCCUCGGCUUCACUGCCUCGCAGACGGACUUCUUCAUUAAAGGCCACACCACAGUUCUCCAGGCUUAAUGGGCAUAAAUAUAGCUGCUCAAAGAGGGGAAGCACUUUUCUGUCCAUGAAGAUAUUACAUCCAAGAGACGAAAGGAAAACCUGCUAAUUGAGAAUCGCACUUCAGUUUAAUUACACAGAUGCUAAAAUAAUGUAACUGAAGCGCCUUAAAAAUAUAAUUAUCCACUAUGCAAUGCUUGAGAGCCUGCUUUAUCUUUUUGCGUUUAAUGUACAUGAUCAAGAAAGAGCCAACAAAAGAAUCAUUCCUGGGUAAUUUGGGAAACUGGGACAUGUUUGGGUUUGAAAGAUGUUUCAGAAAGCGUCUUGCAUUUGGAGGGAAUCAUCAAAGGUAUUUUGUGAGCAACUAUACAUAAAAUCCUUCUUCUCUACCUGUAUGUUCUUCAAAGGCACUUGGGAUUAAAAUAAUAAAUUUUAGGGUAGCUUGAAACUGUGUCCAAUUAUCUCCUCCAAUACCACAAAGAGUGAGGACUGCUGUAUGUUUGGAAAGAAAAACAUACUGUCUUUGUAGUGUGCCUUGAAGAAGGUUUAGAAAGUGCUUCUGAUUGACUAAAUAUUCCUUCUACCCUUUCCUUCUUUACCUUUUAGCUAUAUUGUUGAAUAUAUUAUUAGACAGUGCUGGCUUUGCAUAGAAUGCUAACCUCUCAAAACACUCUGCUCAAAAAUAAACCUGAUUGUGUAUUGCUUCCCAGUGCUAUUUACUUUUGUGUGUGUGUGUGUGUGUGUGGUGUGAGACCCACCCUAUAUUCUUGUGGAUUUCUUGUGUUGAUGAGUAGUGUUUGCCAUGGAUUAUAGUAAAUAAUGGUAAAUUGAUGCAAACAUUCUGCAUUUAUGAUUAACAUAGUGGACAAUAUGAUUGCUGUCCUAAGAUUUUCAGCAAAAACAUGAUUUAGCAAGGGUGCUUCUAUAUGGCAAACAGGAGAUGUUCUCUAAAAGAACUUCAGAGAUCAUAUUCCAAGUUCCUAGAGGUGCAGAAAUUUGUAGGCACUUGAAAAGGAGGUGUGGGGUAUUGAGAAAAGGAGGAGGGAAGCAGGAGAUGGAAUACAUGGAACUUCUAAAACAAAGAUGAGAAAAAAUGCUACUGAGCCACCUGGCGCAUCCACAGACCAUCCUGGUAAGCACCUUGGUGAACGGACUGCAGAGGAAGGCACAUCAUCUAGUAGGAAUGGAGCUUGGGCUAGACUCACACUGAGAGGUGCUGUUUCCUCCUAUGUGCCAUAGAGCUCAGAAGGAGAGCAGAGGAUUAACACUCUUGCUGUGGGGUCUGAGUACCUGGACCCUGAUCUGCUCCAACUAGCUGUGGACCUUGGAAAAGUCCUUCGCCUAUCUAAUCUUGUUUCUUCCCUCCUAAAAUAAAGUUACUAACAGUAUCCACUGCCUGUAGUUGCAGCAAUAAUUAAAUGAAACAAUCCAAGUAACACAUUUAGAAGAGUGUCUAGCCUUUGUGAACGUUCAAUAAAUUAUCUGGUAUCAGCUUUCCAAAGCUCCGGCUGAUUCUACUGAUUCUAGCCCAGGCUGGUAUACUUUGCCAAAUCAUGCAUACAUUUUAAACACCUUAUGUGUGAACAUUGAGGAGAUGGUUUGUAGCUCUCAGAACCCAAGAGAAAAAAAAAAUCUGUAAAGGCUGAGGAAUCUUGGAUUCAGUGCUCGUCUGAUCUGUCUGCUACAUCCUUGGUCUACUCAGAGAAGAAAAGCAUCAGAACUGAGAAAUGGAGUUGCAACCACACUGAGCAGUUCCCAGGUUGGACAGUCACAGAUGUGUUUACACUCACAUCUAGAUGGUGCAUGGCUCAUUACUUCAGGGUGAGAGGCUACGGGGUACAUGUGCAUCUAUUAAUGAAUCUGGACCUGCCCCAGCACACUGCCCAGACAGUUGCAUUUUUAAUUUUUUUUUGAUGAUGUAUAUGUACUUUGAGUGGAGUGAGGAAAGACGAAAGGGAGGUGUUUUGUUUAUUUGCUAACAAAUCAGAGUCAUUAAUAUUAGUGUCCUCGAUUUUUGGUAUUGAUAACAUUGAAAUAAUAGCCAACGUUUAUAGGAUUUUUUAUGUGUGUAGAAUUCUUGAUAUGUAAAAUCACAUUUAUUGUAAAAGAGACCAAGAGCUACAAUAACAUCUUUGUAAAAGGUUUAUUUAUAAUUAACUGUGUUCCUCUCAUUAUUUUGCU
ensembl:lincRNA